GUAUUCAAUAAAAAAAUGGUGUGUUAUCAUCUUGGGGCUGUCAAAUCUGAAUCUGCAGCAUCAAACGGUACCACAAGCUUGACCUAAAUUAUGGAUUGUAAAGCAAAUCAUGAUUGAUUCCCUAAUUUCCAUUUUAAUG
rnacentral:pre_miRNA from 1 species